GGAAAUGUAAAAAUUAGCGGUUAUUGAUUGGUUUAUUACUCUUGACCAAUAGGUGGCGCUGUGACCAAAAUGAUGUGGCGUGGUCAAUGUGAUGUGACAAUGUCACAUAUUAAGUUUUGUGUAAAUAUCUCCAACCUUUGCAGAGAUACAGCCUCAGAUGCAGUUUGGCAUCUUUCCAGCAAAUUCGUUGGUACGCUAAUUGAAAACGGUUACGUGUAUCGACACAAAUUCCAUAACUUUUUGCCAGCAUGGUCUGAAGAUGAUCCAAAUCAAAUUUGGUGAAAAUCUGAGCAACGGUCUAGGAGGAGUUCGAAAAAGUAGGUUUUCAACAUGAAUCAAAAUGGCGGACAGGAAAUUUUGCCAAAAUUGACAAAUGGGGUAUCGGUGUUCUCGGCAUGACCCAAGGAAUCUAUCAACAUCAGCUUUGUUACAAUAGGCUAAUGUAUGCAAAAGUUAUUAGCAUUUUUCGAAAAAAUCGUUAUAACUAUUGACCACAAGGUGGCGCUGCCCCCAAUUUUUUUGUGUACAUUCAGGGCAUGGAGCCGGACAUUUUUGUUAUUAUUUGCGAAACGAUACGGAACUUCAUUCUUAAGAUACAGCAAUUUACAACUAAAUUCAAAAUGGCCGACGCCCAAAAUGGCCGAAUUGGUAAAAUUCGGUAUCAUUCGACUCGGAAUGAUGCACUGAAUCUAAAGACACCACUUUUGUGAUUUUUGGCAAAACCGUUCAGAAGUUAUGAGCAAAAACAUGCAUUUUUCAUAUCUCCUGACCACUAGGGGGCACAGCGCCGAAACACUGCAGGUAGUCCCAGGGAAUGGUUGUUAUAAGACCCACCAAGAUUGGUCUCAAUAGGCCAAACCGUUGCGGAGAUAUAGCCUCACGUUCACGUUUGCGUGCUUUUCGAAGAAUUCGUUCAUGAGCUAUUCGGAAACGGUUUGAGAAAUCAACUUGAAUUCCAUAACUUUUUGCCAGCAUGGUCUGAAGAUUAUCUGAUUCAAUUUUCGUGACAAUCGGUGCAACGGCCUAGGACGAGUUCGAAAAAGUAGGUUUUACGAACAAUUGACGAUAGCGAAAAAACUAAACCUUGCGAUUUUUGAAUUUCGGUGUCCAUUCGACUCGGCAUGAGCCAAGGAAUCACAGGAAAAAAGAAUUUUCAUUUUGUGGCUUACGGUUCAAGAGUUAUUAGCAUCAAGUUUUUGAAAGUUUAGACAAUUGGUGGCGCUAGAGAGUUUGAGUUAGAGACUUCAAAUUUGCUACGGUUAAUGUUCAGACAGUCCUCUAUUAGUGUGCCAAAUUAUACAACUUUCCCGCAAUCGGUUCUAUGGGCUACCAUAGACUUGGGGUGGAAGAAGAAGAAUAAUAACGCCAACAAACACAAUAGGUGCCUUCGCACCUUCGGUGCUUGGCCCCUAAUAAUAAUAAUAAUAAUAAGAAGAACCGGAACAAAAACAAUAGGUGCCUCGCACCUUCGGUGCUUGGCCCCUAAUAACGCCAACGAAAACAAUAGGUGCCUACGCACCUUCGGUGCUUGGCCCCUAAUAACAAACAAACAAAAAACAAACAAUUCGCACCUUCGGUGCUUGGCCCCUAAAUAUAGCUGCAAGCAGCAAUCACGGGGGCCAAGCAUUCCAGCGGCAACAUCAGGAGCUAAGCAUAUGUAGCAUCAGACCAAAUGCAACAAUGAAUAAUGAAAUUAAUAAUUGCAUGAUUGUAAUUGAAAUGGCUGAAAAUCGUUAAUAAAAGUUCCACAGCGAGGAGCUAAGCAUGGCAUGGAGCAUCAGACCCAAUGCAACGAGUAAGAAAAGCAAUUAUUGGAAGAGUGUAAUUGAAACAGCCAGUAAAACUCCAGUAAAAUGAUGCAUUAUCAUUUUUGGAAAAUAGGUGGCGCUGUAAUCAAAUCGCUUUGUUGUGUUCUGUGGGAGGUGACAAUGUUGUGGGCAAUUUCUUUCAAAAUACUUACAGACCUUUAUGGCAAUGAGUCGAACAUGCCCACCGAGUUUCGUUCCGAUCGACUUCCAUUAACCUUGUCAAAUAGGUGAUUAAAGUUGUUUGGCCAAUGGUGGCCAUGUUUUUUAAGAUAAGUGAAAUUCCUCAUAGAGCACUUGUGCCACAUUGGGCCAUAUCAAUUUUCAAGUUGAUUGGAUCAACGGUUGCUUAGUUAUAGCAAUUUGAUUUUUUUUCAUCCUGUAGCGCCACCAAGUGGCAGAUAUGGAAAAAUAAUAAUAAUUUGACUAAAGUUUUUUUUCAUGCAUAUGAGUUCUGAGUUUGGUGAAGAUAUCUCAUUUUGUUCCCGAGUUAUAGCCUUUUUCGUAAAAUUGGUCCACGAAUUUGAAUGUUUUGGGUCACCUGGUUUUUUGUUCAGUCUUGAUCAAACCACUGCAGUAAUAUUCUCAGGACUCUCUAGAUCAAUAACUUUGAAAAAAUAUGUUGUAUUUUGUCCUUUGGUUAGCUAUAAGAGGUCAUUUAGGAAAGGGCCGUGGCCACAUGUAACCUAAAGCCUAUAAAACUGAAACAAAAACUCAAAACUUUAUGAAACUUGGUUAUAACAUGUGAAAGAUGACCCACCAAUCAUGCAAAGUUUCAUUAAGAUCAGAAAAUAGCUGGUGCUAUAACAUUUAAACAGGCCUAAAAAACAAAAGAUUUCUGUUGUGAAUGGCAUUCAACUGCAAAAAAAAAAGGGAUAAUAUAAUCACACAUGCAUUAGAUCUGUAUUUUUUCUAAACAAUCAUGCAAAAUUUAACAGAGAUUAGGUAAAAAAGAACACUGUAAUAUUUAUAAAGCUUCAAAACCCAGUGUUGAAUAAAAAAUUGCAAUUAUAACCACUAGAUGUCACCGGAAGACCACUAAUGAGCUCACUAAAGACUAAAACAUUACAGUUUAUGGGCUUGUUGAGGGAUUCAUCUAGAAAAAAAUGUAUAUUACUAUUAUUUAAUAUUACUGUUCAAGCAUUUCAGAUCACAUUGAGUCAAAGUUUACCAAUUUAUUCAUACAGAUAUAUCUAAUGUUUAUAAUUAUGCCAGAUUAUGAUUGCAAUGAAACCUGAAAAAUGACAUAGAAGCCCAUAAAAACAGAAGACUUGCAAUAGGUUUUAUCACCCAUCAUUUAUUUUAAUUAUCUAUAUAUAUAAUAAAAUGUGUGCAUCUGUGUGUGGGUUUAAGCAUGCUUAUUGAGUAUUAAUAUAGUAGUUUAAACAUUUCAUGUUUGUGUGUGUCUGUAAUUCUGUUCUAUUCUUUUACUGUCAGCCAUAUCUAGGUUAUUUAAAAUCAGUGCAGUACUAUUAUCUAGACUGUGAAAUUAUACAUAAAUUGCGUAUGCUUCUUUGGAAUGAAAUUAAGACAACAUAUAACAGUUAUAAAGGUUAAAGAGACAGUGUUGUAUGAUAAAUUGCAUUUACGACCACUAGAUGUCACUGGAAGACCACUAAUGGGCUCACUAAAGACUAAAACAUUACAGUUCAUUGUCUCGAUGAUUGAUUCAUCUAGAAAAAUAUAUAUUACUAUUAUUUAAUAUUACUGUUCAAGCAUUUAAGAUCACAUUGAGUGAAAGUUCAACAAUUUAUUCAUACAUGUAUAUCAAAUGUUUACUAUUAUGUCAGAAUAUGAAUGCAAUGAAACCUGACAUAGAAAUGUAAGAAAAGAAGUCUUUCUGUGAGUUGUGUGUCACCUAUAAUUUAUUUCAAAUAUCUACAUACAACAAAAUGUGUGGGCAUGUACUUCUCUCUGUGUGUGUGUGUGUGUGUGUGUGUGUGUGUGUGUAAUCAUGCUUAUUGAUUAUUCAUAUAAUAGUUGAACCAUUUCAUUUCUGUGUGUGAGUGUCUGUGAGCCUAUUCUCCAUGUUAGACAAUGGCACACACGAGUUUGGCUUAAUUACAACAAAGCUUUGCAGAGAUAUAGCCUCAGACUCAUUUUGUGAAGAUGCCUGACAUCUGAAGCAGCGCUGUACAAAAACGGUUUCGUCUAUUGACACGAAAUCCAUAACUUUUUGUCAGCACGGUCUGAAGAUGAUCUGAUUCAAUUUUGGUGAAAAUCAGACAAACGGUUGAGGAUGAGUUUAAAAAAAAGGGUUUUCAACAUGAAUCAAAAUGGCGGACAGGAAGUUUUGCUUAAUAUGACAUAAUUGGUAUGUAUGUUGUCGGCAUGUCCCAAGGAACAUGUUGAGACAUGUUUCAUGAUAAUAGGCUAAUGCAAUCAAAAGUUAUUAGCAUUAUUGGAAAUGUAAUAAUUAGCGGUUAUUGAUUGGUUUAUUACUCUUGACCAAUAGGUGGCGCUGUGACCAAAAUGAUGUGGCGUGGUCAAUGUGAUGUGACAAUGUCACAUAUUAAGUUUUGUGUAAAUAUCUCCAACCUUUGCAGAGAUACAGCCUCAGAUGCAGUUUGGCAUCUUUCCAGCAAAUUCGUUGGUACGCUAAUUGAACACGGUUACGUGUAUCGACACAAAUUCCAUAACUUUUUGCCAGCAUGGUCUGAAGAUGAUCCAAAUCAAAUUUGGUGAAAAUCUGAGCAACGGUCUAGGAGGAGUUCGAAAAAGUAGGUUUUCAACAUGAAUCAAAAUGGCGGACAGGAAAUUUUGCCAAAAUUGACAAAUGGGGUAUCGGUGUUCUCGGCAUGACCCAAGGAAUCUAUCAACAUCAGUUGUGUUACAAUAGGCUAAUGUAUGCAAAAGUUAUUAGCAUUUUUCGAAAAAUCGUUAUAACUAUUGACCACAAGGUGGCGCUGCCCCCAAUUUUUUUGUGUACAUUCAGGGCAUGGAGCCGGACAUUUUUGUAAUUAUUUGCGAAACGAUACGGAACUUCAUUCUUAAGAUACAGCAAUUUACAACUAAAUUCAAAAUGGCCGACGCCCAAAAUGGCCGAAUUGGGAAUAUUCGGUAUCAUUCGACUCGGAAUGAUGCACUGAAUCUAAAGACACCACUUUUGUGAUUUUUGGCAAAACCGUUCAGAAGUUAUGAGCAAAAACAUGCAUUUUUCAUAUCUCCUGACCACUAGGGGGCACAGCGCCGAAACACUGCAGGUAGUCCCAGGGAAUGGUUGUUAUAAGACCCACCAAGAUUGGUCUCAAUAGGCCAAACCGUUGCGGAGAUAUAGCCUCACGUUCACAUUUGCGUGCUUUUCGAAGAAUUCGUUCAUGAGCUAUUCGGAAACGGUUCGAGAAAUCAACUUGAAUUCCAUAACUUUUUGCCAGCAUGGUCUGAAGAUUAUCUGAUUCAAUUUUCGUGACAAUCGGUGCAACGGCCCAGGACGAGUUCGAAAAAGUAGGUUUUAUGAACAAUUGACGAUAGCGAAAAAACUAAACCUUGCGAUUUUUGAAUUUCGGUGUCCAUUCAACUCGGCAUGAGCCAAGGAAUCACAGGAAAAAAGAAUUUUCAUUUUGUGGCUUACGGUUCAAGAGUUAUUAGCAUCAAGUUUUUGAAAGUUUAGACAAUUGGUGGCGCUAGAGAGUUUGAGUUAGAGACUUCAAAUUUGCUACGGUUAAUGUUCAGACAGUCCUCUAUUAGUGUGCCAAAUUAUACAACUUUCCCGCAAUCGGUUCUAUGGGCUACCAUAGACUUGGGGUGGAAGAAGAAGAGGAAGAAUAAUAACGCCAACAAACACAAUAGGUGCCUUC